CUCACUCAGGGAUCUUAGUCCUGAGGCAGAGAGGAUCUAGAGCAUAAGCAAAGCGGCUUUGGGUUAGGAACCCUAGGAGAAGUGACGCCAGAGGAAAAGGGUAUCCUCCCUCCCCAAUCCUUAGGAUGUGCAGCUGAGAGGUGAACUCUUACAGAAGGAGAGAAUCCAGAGGAGGACAACAUAAAUCAGGAUGCAUCAAAAACAGCCAUUUUGGGGGCUCAUCCAGGAGGGCAACGCCUGCAGAGACAACGGCAGCUGCUGCGGACCGUUCCCCUUCGAACCCCAUGGUGCCACAAUAGAGGAGAUGGAUGAUGGUUGCAGCAGAUGUUUCCUACUGGGGCAUCAACAGGGAAGAAUUAUUAUGGGGGAAGAAGGACUCCACGGAGAGAAAUUAUCUUGCAAAACUGUUGGUCCUCUCUGCAGUAAAUAAUUAUGCCCUUGCACGUAAAUCAGGUGUCAUUGAGGAUCCAGCAGCACCCCAAACUGAAAACUUCUUAAAUGAAAGAAGGAUAGGAAGGACAACCACCCCACUUUCUCUUAACACACCAAACAAUUCUGGGAACAAAACAGGCAAUGAGCUCUGAAGAUGUGAAGAAUUCCUAGAAAUUGAAAGAUAUAAUACACACAAC